rnacentral:rRNA from 1 species
CUAGGGAGGCUGCAGUGGGGAAUAUUGGACAAUGGGCGAAAGCCUGAUCCAGCCAUGCCGCGUGUGUGAAGAAGGCCUUCGGGUUGUAAAGCACUUUCAGUGGGGAAGAAAGCCUUGGGGCUAAUACCCUCGAGGAAGGACAUCACCCACAGAAGAAGCACCGGCUAACUCCGUGCCAGCAGCCGCGGUAAUACGGAGGGUGCGAGCGUUAAUCGGAAUUACUGGGCGUAAAGCGCGCGUAGGCGGUCUGAUAAGCCGGUUGUGAAAGCCCCGGGCUCAACCUGGGAACGGCAUCCGGAACUGUCAGGCUAGAGUGCAGGAGAGGAAGGUAGAAUUCCCGGUGUAGCGGUGAAAUGCGUAGAGAUCGGGAGGAAUACCAGUGGCGAAGGCGGCCUUCUGGACUGACACUGACGCUGAGGUGCGAAAGCGUGGGUAGCAAACAGGAUUAGAUACCCGGGUAGUC